rnacentral:ncRNA from 2 species
UAUAUAAUUUAAUUGAUAGGCGUAAAUUAGUUGCAUAAUAGGGAAUCUCGCAUAAAUCGAGAACGGACUCACCGCUGUAACUAAGGAUAUUAAGACGCAUUAAAGUCACUGGUUAUAAUAUAUUAAUAUAUAAUGAUCGGGAAGACCCAGUUAAAUCAAUACUCCGAAAAUUAGAAAAUCUGCUUAUUAAAAUAUACCCUA